GGAAGACGCAGCAGCUCUACACAACGAAAUAGUAGCGUUGCCUCUUCGCAGCUCCAAUGUUGCCGCCCCCUUCACCGCUAUGGGUCCCAGAUCUUAUGGUGAAGAGGCAGCGGCUCUCUCUACACACAACGAAACAGUAGCGUUGCCUCUUCGCCGCUGCAAUGUUGCCCUUUCGGCUAUAUGCCGCUGUUAUAACUGUUAGCUUCCACCCUUCGACGCUACCGCUGUUUCCGACGCACUUCUUCUCCUCCUUUUUAUUUUUCUUCUUCUUCGGCAGCACUCAUCAAUAAGAAAGCAGCAGCAUAGGGCAGCAACGGAACACUCUUCUCUCGAGUGGAGAAAUCAUAACAAAAACCAUACUUAUUGGACUAACGAAGAUGGAGAUAUCUGCACUGGUGUUGGCUUGUGGUUCGAGGGUCGGAGCCGACGGAACCUAUCAUUAGUGCAAGAUUUGAUCUUGUAUGGGCUAUCCAUUGGCAUUGCAUUUCGUGAAGUGCUUCACAGUUCUGUCUUCGGGACUUUGUGUGGUUUGCCAUGUCAAUUUCUCGUUCUGCUUUGACAUAAACACUUUCAAGCCUGAAAUUUUGAUUGCAGCUUCCGAGCAGAUACUUCAAGUGUGUUCAAAGGCAGAAAAUGCUUCAAGAUCGAGCACUGAUAUCUGCCGACAAAUAGGAUGGCUGGAUCCAAGCAGCACUCAUCAGUAAGAAACCAGCAGCAAGGGCAGCAAGGCUGCAAAACAAAGCUUUCUAAUUAGUGGAGAAAUCAUCACAAAAACCAUAAGAAGACAUACAUAGGGAGGCUACUGCCACUACAAGCACCACAUUCACGACCAACUGUUGCUGUGGGAUUAGACGCAGGAAACCUAAUUGCUGGAGGUACCUAUGGGGAAGAUGUCUAAUGGUGCAGUGCUCCAAGGGAUGUGCAUACCUGUGCAACUGAUGUUGUAGAGAUUGGCAUUGAUGGUGGCCUCCUAUGUACAGACUUGCUCUAACUUCCAAACCUAUCUAUUGUAUCGAAAUAUCAACAGGGACAAUCGAGCUAUCGUUUGCUUGAGCAUCGAGAGAAUAGAUUCUAGUUUUUUUAACUGAAACUACACUGAUGAUCUCCAUGCUGUAGAAAUCUCAAUUUGGUGGGGUUGUAUAGUUAUUGCCCAUUUGACAGUGGUGUGUAGAUGUUGCUAAAUAUAUGAUCAGUGAGUGUGCUAGCAUUAGUGGUGUGUAGAUGUUGCUAAAUAUAUGAUCAGUGAGUGAAUUAGCAGUGUCAAGGUUUGUGUGUACCACAGGAAUUAGCACUGUAAAUGCAGUAGUUGCAUCUCA